rnacentral:rRNA from 1 species
CAAUAGCGUAUAUUAAAGUUGUUGCAGUUAAAAAGCUCGUAGUUGGAUUUCUGAUCGAGACAUCAGGUCGGGUCCGAGAGGAUCAUGUACUUUGAUUUUGUUUUGAUCAUCCUUGGGGAGAGGAUUUCUGGCAUUCAGUUGUCGGGAUUGGGAUCCUCAUCGUUUACUGUGAAAAAAUUAGAGUGUUCAAAGCAGGCCUCGGCCUCUGAAUACAUUAGCAUGGAAUAAUAAGAUAGGACUUUGGUGGUCUAUUUUGUUGGUUUGCACGCCAAAGUAAUGAUUAAUAGGGAUAGUUGGGGGUAUUCGUAUUCAAUUGUCAGAGGUGAAAUUCUUGGAUUUAUGGAAGACGAACUACUGCGAAAGCAUUUACCAAGGAUGUUUUCAUUAA